CCAAUACUCCCUCAGUCAAGAAAUACUUGUCAGAGAAAUAAAUAAAAAUAGAUGUAUCUAGAACUAAAACAUGUCUAGGUACAUUCAUUUAUUUUACAAGUAUUUUCGCAUGGAGGGAGUAUUUU
rfam:Triticum aestivum genome assembly, contig: Triticum_aestivum_CS42_TGACv1_scaffold_330085_4BS